rnacentral:lncRNA from 1 species
AUAUUUAGAAAUGUGCCUAUUGGUUGCCUCGUUAAAAACCUUGCAAGGCAAACCCAGUGGGACAAAACCUUGUAAGGGAAAAAGAGUGCAAAGCGCAUUAAUUCCCCCUGAUAAGAACAUAAAUUUAUGUCCUUAAGUCUUCGCAUCCCGAUCUUGUGAACUAGCUUCUUGAAGGUUGACUUUGGUAGAGAUUUUGUAAACAA